GAAAAAUAGUUUAUUUUUAUAGCCGACCUCGGAAAGGGCUAGCAUCUGCUCAAAGCGGAGGUGCUGCACACGACUGCCAGGCCAGUGUCUUGGGCAGACAAGAUGCCCUUCGCAAAGCUGUGCACGCUGGCAAGUUUUUCUGGAUAAAGUCCGAAGUUUCCAUCAGCUUCCCCGCGGGCAGCUUAUCGUCCAAAAGGAGCCCCCGACAGAGCGCCCAGGGGAAUGAAUGGGCAAUACCUCCAGCCUCCAGCUGUGGGACCUGGAGCCAGUGGUGAUGCCUCUUUGGGCCUCAGUUUCCCUUCAAAUUCGAGGACAUUUUGAGGCAUGUGUGCCUACAUCCUGGGCGUCCACGAAGAAGAAUACACUCUGUGAAGUCCCACCUUGCAUCAAGAUUUCUUGAAAGCAAAGAAGAAAGAAGCACUGAAGGAGGAGACUUUGCAAUGUCUUUGCUCAAAACAAAGACAAGGAGCCCAACCGUGACCUCCUCAGAGGGCCCCAGCAGGCUUGGGGCUCCGGCCCAGCCGUGUGAGCUGGCCUCGGGCUCCUCCGCAGCAGAGCAGGGACCGGAGUGAAGAAGCUGGGCCCAGAGAGGUUAAGCAACCCACCCAGAAGUGCACAGCACAGUAGCAAGGGAUGGAAAGCCUGGACUCAAAUUCAGGGCUUCAGACUCCAAAUUCCUCCCAGUUUGUGCUACGCACAAGCAGCUUAUUAUACAGGCUCACCCCCUCCCCCCAUCCAAGGUACCCGACAGGGAUGCUGGCGUCGCGGGAAUGCAGCUCGCGCCACUUGGUCGCCUCAGAGCGGACUACGCAGGCCACGCGGGCUGAGAUGCAGGGAAGUGACGGGGCAGGUACCCCACGCCAGCCCACCCUCGCCGACACCUUGGGGUGCAUCGCCCGCAGGUCCUCAUCCCCUCAUCUCUCGCGCGCCGCGCUCCUGUCAUCCUGUCGCGCAGCGCUGGGAGGCGGUACUGCCCCUUGGCGCCCCCAAAUUUGCUCCCAUCCCCACUCCUCCCUGCCUCCCAAGAUCCGUAAAGCAUCAGCCUUUCCGCCGCCCCUAACGAGCCG
ensembl:lncRNA